AAUAGAACGUGCACACAGAGCCCUGCGCCCCGUGUCCGCUGAGGGACCGCCUAGAGACGUAAUCUGCUACCUGCUCUCCUACUCGUUAAAGGACGAAAUCAUGAGGGAAGCAAGAAAUCAACAGAACCUCACCUACAUGGACGCCCAGAUUUCCCUAUAUCAAGAUCUCUCAGUACUCACCCUGGAAGCGAGAAGGGCACUGAGACCGCUAACCACCCUGCUUAGAGAACGGCGGAUACAAUACAAAUGGGGAUUCCCCUUUAGCUUACAGGCAAAAGUGAGCAACAUAUGGCAUAUCAUACGCUGGCCAGCUGAC